AGAGUACGAUUUGAGCCAAGGAUGACUUGCCGACAUGUGGAAAAGCUUAAUCCCUUUUCAAGGUGUUGUCGGCGAGGAAUCUGGGCUCAUUUGUGCUCC
rfam:Glycine max cultivar Williams 82 chromosome 15, whole genome shotgun sequence.